GACGGGGCCCGCACAAGCGGAGGAACAUGUGGUUUAAUUCGAUGAUACGCGAGGAACCUUACCUGGGCUUAAAUGGGGAGUGACAGCUGUCGAAAGAUGGUUUUCUUCGGACACUCUUCAAGGUGCUGCAUGGUUGUCGUCAGCUCGUGCCGUGAGGUGUCGGGUUAAGUCCCAUAACGAGCGCAACCCUUACCGUUAGUUACCAUCAGGUUAAGCUGGGGACUCUAGCGGGACUGCCACCGUAAGGUGAGAGGAAGGUGGGGAUGACGUCAAAUCAGCACGGCCCUUAUGUCCAGGGCUACACACGUGUUACAAUGGCCAGUACAAAGGGCAGCUACCGGGUGACCGGAUGCUAAUCUCUAAAGCUGGUCUCAGUUCGGAUCGAAGUCUGCAACCCGACUUCGUGAAGCUGGAUUCGCUAGUAAUCGCGCAUCAGCCAUGGCGCGGUGAAUACGUUCCCGGGCCUU
rnacentral:rRNA from 1 species